GGGAAUCUACCCUGAACUGCGGGAUAGCUCCGGGAAACUGGAAUUAAUACCGCAUGUGCCCUGAGGGGCAAAGAUUUAUCGGUUCAGGAUGAGCCCGCGUCCGAUUAGCUAGUUGGUGGGGUAAAGGCCUACCAAGGCGACGAUCGGUAGCUGGUCUAAGAGGAUGAUCAGCCACAUUGGGACUGAGACACGGCCCAAACUCCUACGGGAGGCAGCAGUGGGGAAUAUUGGACAAUGGGCGCAAGCCUGAUCCAGCCAUGCCGCGUGAGUGAUGAAGGCCCUAGGGUUGUAAAGCUCUUUCAGUGGGGACGAUAAUGACGGUACCCACAGAAGAAGCCCCGGCUAACUUCGUGCCAGCAGCCGCGGUAAUACGAAGGGGGCUAGCGUUGUUCGGAAUUACUGGGCGUAAAGCGCACGUAGGCGGACAUUUAAGUCAGGGGUGAAAUCCCGGGGCUCAACCCCGGAACGGCCUUUGAUACUGGGUGUCUUGAGUUCGGAAGAGGUGAGUGGAAUUGCGAGU
rnacentral:rRNA from 1 species